ACAUCUCAACUCUCAUGGUCUGCCAUGAUGAGCUUGGACUUUGGGGGUCUUGCUGGCCUAGUGUCGGCUCCUCUCAAAUGGAUCAGCUUGCCAGUGUUUGGUGGCAUCACAGGUGUGAUAACUAUCUACGCUCGUGGUUCUCUGCCAUGUAACCUUCAGUGAUGGAGGUUCGCUGGAGCUCACAGAUGUCUCUCCUUGGGGAGGACAGCUUUUUGAAC
rnacentral:misc_RNA from 1 species